AACAUCAUAAUUAUAUCGCAAAUGUACUACUAGUAUAUGCAGUUUUCUUAAAAUUGCAGGGAAUGACUAAAAGCCCACGUUUUUCCCACUUUUAGUAGUACUGAAGCGUAGAUAGAUUGAACGUUGCUGGGCGCCUGAUGUUGAUCAUUUCUGAAAUGAGAUAUUGGGAAUCAGCUGUAUCUACAUUU
rnacentral:snoRNA from 1 species